CGUGUAGGCGGUCAGGUAAGUGGGACGUGAAAUGCCUCGGCUCACCCGAGGAGCUGCGUCCCAAACUGCUUGGCUUGAGUAUGGGAGAGGAUGUGGGAAUUCCUGGUGUAGCGGUGAAAUGCGUAGAUAUCAGGAGGAACACCGGUGGCGAAGGCGCACAUCUGGCCCAAUACUGACGCUGAGGCGCGAAAGGCUAGGGGAAGCAAACG
rnacentral:rRNA from 1 species